AUUGAACGCUGGCGGCAUGCUUUACACAUGCAAGUCGAACGGCAGCACGGGGGCAACCCUGGUGGCGAGUGGCGAACGGGUGAGUAAUACAUAGGAACGUAUCCUGAAAUGGGGGAUAGCUCGGCGAAAGCCGGAUUAAUACCGCAUACGAUCCACGGGAUGAAAAGCAGGGGAUUCGCAAGAACCUUGCGUUUCUGGGAGCGGCCCUAUGUCUGAUUAGCUAGUUGGGCGGGGUAAAAGCCCACCAAGGCGACGAUCAGUAGCUGGUCUGA
rnacentral:rRNA from 1 species